GGAGGCACAAGAGCCCAACCGUCCCGUUUUUGCCCUGACCUUUGCCCUGGUAGUCCUGGCCUUUCCCGCCUACCUGCUGGGCAUUGACAGCGGGCGACUGCAGGAGAAGCUGACCAGCCGCAAGAUGGACAGCCGCUGGGGCGGGCGCAGCGAGUCCAUCAAUGUGACCCUCAACGUGGAGCAGGCAGCCUACACCCGUGAUGCCCUGGCCAAGGGGCUCUAUGCCCGCCUCUUUGACUUCCUCGUCGAGGCCAUCAACCGUGCUAUGCA
rnacentral:sRNA from 1 species